UGGGGAAUAUUGCGCAAUGGGCGAAAGCCUGACGCAGCGACGCCGCGUGAGGGAUGAAGGUUUUCGGAUCGUAAACCUCUGUCAGAAGGGAAGAAACCGCACUGUGCUAAUCAGCAGUGCCUUGACGGUACCUUCAAAGGAAGCACCGGCUAACUCCGUGCCAGCAGCCGCGGUAAUACGGAGGGUGCAAGCGUUAAUCGGAAUUACUGGGCGUAAAGCGCACGUAGGCUGCUUUGUAAGUCAGGGGUGAAAUCCCACGGCUCAACCGUGGAACUGCCUUUGAUAAUGCUUAGCUUGAAUCCGGGAGAGGGUGGCGGAAUUCCAGGUGUAGGAGUGAAAUCCGUAGAUAUCUGGAGGAACAUCAGUGGCGAAGGCGGCCACCUGGACCGGUAUUGACGCUGAGGUGCGAAAGCGUGGGGAGCAAACAGG
rnacentral:rRNA from 1 species